rnacentral:rRNA from 1 species
GACGAACGCUGGCGGCGUGCUUAACACAUGCAAGUCGAACGGUAAGGCCCUUCGGGGUACACGAGUGGCGAACGGGUGAGUAACACGUGGGUGAUCUGCCCUGCACUUCGGGAUAAGCCUGGGAAACUGGGUCUAAUACCGGAUAGGACCACUGCCUGCAUGGGUGGUGGGGGAAAGCUUUUGCGGUGUGGGAUGGGCCCGCGGCCUAUCAGCUUGUUGGUGGGGUGAUGGCCUACCAAGGCGACGACGGGUAGCCGGCCUGGGAGGGUGACCAGCCACACUGGGACUGAGAUACGGCCCAGACUCCUACGGGAGGCAGCAGUGGGGAAUAUUGCACAAUGGGCGCAAGCCUGAUGCAGCGACGCCGCGUGAGGGAUGACGGCCUUCGGGUUGUAAACCUCUUUCAGCACCGACGAAGCGCAAGUGACGGUAGGUGCAGAAGAAGGACCGGCCAACUACGUGCCAGCCGCCGCGGUAA